GUUUGAAUUUGAAGAGGACGGAAGGAGAGUGAAUAUCCUACAGUGUGCGAAAAAGUCAAUUAAUGAAGAAAAAACAUCGAACUUACAUAAUUGCUAUGACAGAUCUAACGAAAACAACUGGUGGCACGUGAGCUACGUCUUCUCUUGCCAGCUCCGGUAAAGUGGGAAAAGACGAUCUCUACUAUUUGACCUCGCUGUAGCUAGAUGGAUGGAUAAAACGCCUUGUGAAUCGAAAGAGAGGAAGAGGAAAGAGGAGAGUCUUUUCGUUGUACCGUGGGACGACCUGCUAAUCGAUAAGCUAACCUAUUAACCCAGUGCUCGAGUACGCAUGCGUCGGCCACUUGCGGGCGUCACGGCUACUCCCGUGACGUCACGGGACUCGGCGCAAUAUCGAUUGAAAAAUCCGGGAAAUGUCCCAGGACGUCAGCGCUCCUCUUCUGGGAUUCUGGGUGGCCUGCUUGCGUAAACGCGCCUGCUAGAGCGAGAGAAAGAGAGAGAGAGAGAGAAAGAGAAAGAGAGAGAGAGAGAGAGAGAGAGAAAGAGAAAGAGAGAGAGAGAGAGAGAGAGAGAGAGAGAAGAAUAGUAGUGGUGGUAGAAAGAAAGUGGGGGUAUGUGCGACUAAAGCUUUCAAGCUUCAGGGCUGGAAUUUUCUCAAAGCGUAUUAGCGAGGGGAGAUUUUUUCUUUAAACUUUUUACGUUCGUUUUAUUACUUCUUUUUUUUCUUUAUUAUUAUAUGUACUUACAUCCUUCUCUCAUUUUCUUCUAUCCCAAGUCGUAUAUUUUCACGAGUGAUAACGAUAACAAUGAAGAUAAACGAUGAAAAUAAAAAGGAAGCGUCUUUUAAUCUCUCUCUCUCUCUCUCUCUCUUUUUUUUUCUUGGUUUUUCUCUUUUCAAACUUAACGAUAUUUAUUAUGUUUGUCUUUUCUUUUUACCUUAUCUUUCUUCUAAAUUCGAAACACGGUACUCAAAUCGAUUUGUAUGAAUUACUUACGGAACUAAAGAAACGCGUUCUAGACGUUAGCUAAUGUAACGUCCGGUAUCCCGAGCGGAAAUAAAAAUGACUAAGGCCAUUGUCGAGCCGCAACGCCGUUACGGUUUUAUCUAAACUAGAAUAAUGGGAGUGAAUUUCUUUCGGCGAGUCUGGAGAACGCGAACCGUAUAAACUUGACUGGAAGAUCGUUAUUAUCUUUCCUUUGCAUUAUCUUAUCAUUUUCUAACGAUCCUACUAUUCACUUGGCCUCGAUAAUGAAAAAUAACGAUAAUAGCGAUAGAAUAGUUAAAAUAAAAAUCUUUCCGUCAAAUAUUUUUCUUCCAAUUUUUAAUCAUUUCUUCCUUGUUUUCUUCUA